rnacentral:rRNA from 1 species
AGUGAACGCUGGCGGUAGGCCUAACACAUGCAAGUCGAACGGCAGCACAGUAAGAGCUUGCUCUUACGGGUGGCGAGUGGCGGACGGGUGAGGAAUACAUCGGAAUCUACUUUUUCGUGGGGGAUAACGUAGGGAAACUUACGCUAAUACCGCAUACGACCUACGGGUGAAAGCAGGGGAUCUUCGGACCUUGCGCGAUUGAAUGAGCCGAUGUCGGAUUAGCUAGUUGGCGGGGUAAAGGCCCACCAAGGCGACGAUCCGUAGCUGGUCUGAGAGGGUGAGAGGGCAAAUUGGAACGGAGAAACGGCCCAGAUUCGAACGGGAGGCAGCAGUGGGGAAUAUUGGACAAUGGGGGAAAGCCUGAUCCAGCAAUACCGAGUGGGUGAAGAAGGCCUUCGGGUUGUAAAGACAUUUUGUUGGGAAAGAAAAGCAGCAGGUUAAUACCCGGAGGUACUAAGGGUACCCAAAGAAAAAGAACCGGCAAACUUGGU